rnacentral:tRNA from 1 species
UCCUGGUUAGUUCACUUCGCAGUGCGCUCCACUGGAAAUGGAGAGGUUCCCGGGUUCGAUACCCGGACCAGGCG